rnacentral:piRNA from 1 species
UGCAACACUGCUUUCAUUUUGUUGC